AUGGUCCGGUGUGAAAAACUCCGGUGGUAUAAGAUGGACCCGCGUUGGAUUAGCUAGUUGGCAGGGCAGCGGCCUACCAAGGCGACGAUCCAUAGCCGGCCUGAGAGGGUGAACGGCCACAUUGGGACUGAGACACGGCCCAGACUCCUACGGGAGGCAGCAGUGGGGAAUAUUGCACAAUGGGGGAAACCCUGAUGCAGCGACGCCGCGUGAAGGAAGAAGUAUCUCGGUAUGUAAACUUCUAUCAGCAGGGAAGAUAAUGACGGUACCUGACUAAGAAGCCCCGGCUAACUACGUGCCAGCAGCCGCGGUAAUACGUAGGGGGCAAGCGUUAUCCGGAUUUACUGGGUGUAAAGGGAGCGUAGACGGCGCAGCAAGUCUGAUGUGAAAGGCAGGGGCUUAACCCCUGGACUGCAUUGGAAACUGUUGAGCUUGAGUGCCGGAGGGGUAAGCGGAAUUCCUAGUGUAGCGGUGAAAUGCGUAGAUAUUAGGAGG
rnacentral:rRNA from 1 species